UUAAGCAUAUCAAUAAGCGGAGGAAAAGAAACCAACAGGGAUUGCCCUAGUAACGGCGAGUGAAGCGGCAACAGCUCAAAUUUGAAAUCUGGCUUCGGCCCGAGUUGUAAUUUGUAGAGGGAGCUUUUGGCGAGGCACCUACUGAGUCCCCUGGAACGGGGCGCCAUAGAGGGUGAGAGCCCCGUAUAGUAGGACGCCGAGCCUUUGUAAAGCCCCUUCGACGAGUCGAGUAGUUUGGGAAUGCUGCUCAAAAUGGGAGGUAAAUUUCUUCUAAAGCUAAAUAUUGGCCAGAGACCGAUAGCGCACAAGUAGAGUGAUCGAAAGAUGAAAAGCACUUUGAAAAGAGGGUUAAACAGCACGUGAAAUUGUUGAAAGGGAAGCGCUUGUGACCAGACUUGCGCCUGGCUGAUCAUCCGGUGUUCUCACCGGUGCACUCGGCCAGGCUCAGGCCAGCAUCGGUUCUCGCGGGGGGAUAAAGACCUGGGGAACGUAGCUCCUCCGGGAGUGUUAUAGCCCUGGGUGCAACGCCCUCGCGGGGACCGAGGUUCGCGCAUCUGCAAGGAUGCUGGCGUAAUGGUCAUCAGCGACCCGUCUUGAAACACGGACCAAGGAGUCAAGGUUUUGCGCGAGUGUUUGGGUGUUAAACCCGCACGCGUAAUGAAAGUGAACGUAGGUGAGAGCUUCGGCGCAUCAUCGACCGAUCCUGAUGUUUUCGGAUGGAUUUGAGUAGGAGCGUUAAGCCUUGGACCCGAAAGAUGGUGAACUAUGCUUGGAUAGGGUGAAGCCAGAGGAAACUCUGGUGGAGGCUCGCAGCGGUUCUGACGUGCAAAUCGAUCGUCAAAUCUGAGCAUGGGGGCGAAAGACUAAUCGAACCAUCUAGUAGCUGGUUACCGCCGAAGUUUCCCUCAGGAUAGCAGUGUUGUUCUUCAGUUUUAUGAGGUAAAGCGAAUGAUUAGGGACUCGGGGGCGCUUUUUAGCCUUCAUCCAUUCUCAAACUUUAAAUAUGUAAGAAGCCCUUGUUACUUAAUUGAACGUGGGCAUUCGAAUGUACCAACACUAGUGGGCCAUUUUUGGUAAGCAGAACUGGCGAUGCGGGAUGAACCGAACGCGGGGUUAAGGUGCCAGAGUGGACGCUCAUCAGACACCACAAAAGGCGUUAGUACAUCUUGACAGCAGGACGGUGGCCAUGGAAGUCGGAAUCCGCUAAGGACUGUGUAACAACUCACCUGCCGAAUGUACUAGCCCUGAAAAUGGAUGGCGCUCAAGCGUCCCACCCAUACCCCGCCCUCAGGGUAGAAACGAUGCCCUGAGGAGUAGGCGGCCGUGGAGGUCAGUGACGAAGCCUAGGGCGUGAGCCCGGGUCGAACGGCCUCUAGUGCA
rnacentral:rRNA from 1 species